rnacentral:rRNA from 1 species
GAUGAACGCUGGCGGCGUGCCUAAUACAUGCAAGUCGAGCGAACAGACGAGGAGCUUGCUCCUCUGACGUUAGCGGCGGACGGGUGAGUAACACGUGGAUAACCUACCUAUAAGACUGGGAUAACUUCGGGAAACCGGAGCUAAUACCGGAUAAUAUAUUGAACCGCAUGGUUCAAUAGUGAAAGACGGUUUUGCGGUCACUUAUCGAUGGAUCCGCGCCGAAUUAGCUAGUUGGUAAGGUAACGGCUUACCAAGGGAACGAUGCGUAGCCGACCUGAGAGGGUGAUCGGCCACACUGGAACUGAACCACGGACCAGACUCCUACGGGAGGCAGCAGUAGCGAAUCUUCCGCAAUGGGCGAAAGCCUGACGGAGCACCGCCGCGUGAGUGAUGAAGGUCUUCGGAUCGUAAAACUCUGUUAUUAGGGAAGAACAAAUGUGUAAGUAACUAUGCACGUCUUGACGGUACCUAAUCAGAAAGCCACGGCUAACUACGUG